AUUCGUCCUCGAAUCUACAAAGACUAAAUUUUUCAUUUAAGUUCAAUGAGGACAGAGGUUUUACCAUACAUCCAGCGGGGUGCUCAGCCUAUUCUUGGAUGAAGAAACAACUUUUGCCCAUAUCUGGAUUUUGGUCAUUCUUCGCUUGUCUCUUAGAUGAUCAGGAAAGCUCUCCCUAAAUUAUCUAGAUAUCUCAAUCUACAAGAUCCAAUGCCACAUAU
rnacentral:lncRNA from 1 species